rnacentral:rRNA from 1 species
AUUGAACGCUGGCGGCAGGCCUAACACAUGCAAGUCGAGCGGAUGACGGGAGCUUGCUCCUUGAUUCAGCGGCGGACGGGUGAGUAAUACCUAGGAAUCUGCCUGAUAGUGGGGGACAACGUUUCGAAAGGAACGCUAAUACCGCAUACGUCCUACGGGAGAAAGCAGGGGACCUUCGGGCCUUGCGCUAUCAGAUGAGCCUAGGUCGGAUUAGCUAGUUGGUGAGGUAAUGGCUCACCAAGGCGACGAUCCGUAACUGGUCUGAGAGGAUAAUCAGUCACACUGGAACUGAGACACGGUCCAGACUCCUACGGGAGGCAGCAGUGGGGAAUAUUGGACAAUGGGCGAAAGCCUGAUCCAGCCAUGCCGCGUGUGUGAAGAAGGUCUUCGGAUUGUAAAGCACUUUAAGUUGGGAGGAAGGGCAGUAAGCUAAUACCUUGCUGUUUUGACGUUACCGACAGAAUAAGCACCGGCUAACUCUGUGCCAGCCGCCGCCCGUAAUAC